rnacentral:misc_RNA from 1 species
ACCAAAUUAUACAUGUCGAUAAGCAGGUUUGUAAAUGUGAGACGCAAGAAGUUCACAAUGCACCCUCCAAAUAUAUAGGUUAAAUAUUAAGGCACGAAUCUGAUAUGGUUGCUUGAAAAGCAAUACGAAUAGGUACCAAUUAAUACUACUAAAUUAAAAAAAAUGUAAAUAUAAUAUUAAAUGCUUAACAAAAUUUGCAUGAUGUGGCUAUAUUAGAAGUAAUAUCCAAACAAUCGUUUGAGAACAAAAGGAAUCCUCCCCUUUAAUACGGCGACACACAUGAAAACAAAAGGAAUUGUUACAUUGCGUUGCUUUAGGUACUGAAACCUGAAUUAGUUACAGUUACAACAAAUGACAGAAUGACUGCUAAAUAUGUAGACAGAUAUUGCACAUACUACUUCAUGUCGAGCCAAAAGAUAGAAUUGAUGCACUUCAAUGGAGACAUCAGGUAAUUAAAUGGUCUAUAGUCUCAAAAUCCCCAUUAAACAUCAAAAACAACUACAGAGCAAAGAAAACUACAAUAAGACUAAAUAGCAUCGAAAAAUGUUCUCAUGAAAAUUUGUCCCAACACAUAAUUUGUUGACUGAAUCUGUAACAGGAUAUAUGCCAGCAAUAGCCUCUAGCCUUAAGCAGAUGUUGCUGCUCCCUUCUUCCUUGGUGCUGCUUGAGUGCCUUCUCUAAAACCACUCUUGAACCUGCGAGGUACAUGGCGGAGAUACCUCAUUCUUCCGGUUCCAGUUGUCUUUCUUCGGAUGGCCUUCACACUCCAGUUGUCUGAAAACCACAAUUGACAUCUUGUUCACAAGCUAAGUGAAAUACACAGGUUAUUACCUACUAAUUACAGAUAUAAGGCCAAUCAAGAUGUGGAGCCACUGGAUUUGACUACACAUUUGACAAUUUUUCAGAGACACAUGUCCACGAAGAAUGAAAUUGGUACAGGGUUUACAUCUUUUACAAAUCCAUGUGUACAUAUAUGUUUACAUAGAUGAUGAUGAUGAUGAUGAUAUAAUUUUACUUACAAAGACACAAUUCACACCAUAUGUAAGAUCCAUAAACAAGCAAAUAUAAUAAUUGUUACUCAUUGGAUGCGAAAUUGGCUAUCAUAACAAAACAGUGAUAUCUGCAUUCAUAAACAUGGCUGCAGAAGAGGGGUCCUAGCCUCAAAAUUCGACCACUAGUUCUCUAAAAGAAGCGAAGUCCACUAUACACAUAAUCAUACUCAAAACAACAGAUCAGGAACACGCACAUAUAUACACAACAUAGGGAUGUAAAAACGAACAUUAUCUUGAGAAGAACAAUAAAUAUCACUUCUUACCCACUUAUACAUGUUAAUACAUAGCUUCAUAUUCGCAUAGAAUGAUUAAGGAACAUGAAAUUAUACUAGCAAGGGAGUUGUUAUACAUACAUUUCCUCUUGCGGGCAGCAGGGAAAGCACAGGCAGCACAACGGCUCUUCUGGAGGUGGAAGCUGCGUCGGCCACACCUCACGCAGAGGGUGUGAGUCUUGUUCCUCCUCUUACCAAAA